rnacentral:lncRNA from 1 species
GGAUAGUAAGGAUAAAAAAAGAGAGAGGAAGAAGUGAGGGAUCGAUGAGGUGAGGGUUGGGAGAGGAAGAAGUGAGAGAAAAGGAAAGAAAGAAAAAAAGAGUUUGGGGGGAUAAAUUGGGUUGGGGUUGCGGGUGUGGGGAAGGCGAGGUGAGGGCUGGGAGAGGAAGAAGAGAGGGAAAAGGAGAGAAGGAAAAAAAAGGGGCUUGGGAG